rnacentral:lncRNA from 1 species
AAUGAAUCCAACCAGAAACCAUGAGGGAUCGAACCUAUAGAUCUUCUAACUAUUUUUUAAUUGGGUUGUUUGUUUGGUGUAAAGCUGUAUGAAAUAUUUGUAUAUUUUGGAGAUUAAUCCUUCUUCAGUUGCUUCUUUUGCAAAGAUUUUCUCCCAUUCUGUGGGUUGUCUUUGUUUUGUUUAUGGUUGCUUUUGCUAUGCAAAAGUUUUAAGUUUAACUAGGUCCCAUUUGUUUACUUUUGUUUUUAUUUUCAUUUCUCUAGGAGGUGAAUCGAAAAAAUAUAUUUCUGAAAUUUACGUCAAAAAGUGUUCACCUAUGUUUUCCUCUUAGAGUUUUAAAGUAUCUGGCCUUAGAUUUAAGUCUUUAAUUCAUUUUGAGUUGAUUUUGUAUAGGGUGUUAGAGAGUGUUCUAAUUCAUUCUUUUAUGUAAAACUGUCUGGUUUUCCCAGCACUACUUAUUGAAGAGGCUGUCUUUUCUCCAUUGUUUAUUCUUGGCCCCUCUGUCGUACAUUAAUUGACCAUAGGUGCCUGAGUUUAUUUCUGGGUUUUCUAUGCUGUUCCACUGAUCUAUGUUUCUGUUUUUGUGCCAGUACCAUACUGUUUUGAUUACAGUAGCUUUGUAAUUAAGUCCGAAGUUGGGGAGUCUGAUUCCUCCAGCUCUGUUUUUCUUUCUCGAUUGCUCUAGCUAUACAAGGUCCUUUGUGUUUCCAAAAAAUCUGAAGAUAUUUUAUUCUAGGUCUGUGAAAAGUGCCAUUGGUAAUUUGAUAGGGAUUGUGCUCAAUGUAUAGAUUGCCUUGGUCAAAUGCAUAGUCAUUUUGACAAUGUUGAUUCUUCUGAUCCAAGAGCAUGGUAUAUCUUCCCAUCUGUAUUAUCUUUGAUUUCCUUCAUCAAUGUUUUAUAGUUUUCAGAAUACAGGUCUUUUACCUCUUUAGUUUAUUCCCAGGUAUUUUAUUCUCUUCAAUGUGAUGGUAAAUGGGACUGUUUCCUUAAUUUCUCUUUCUGAUCUUUUGUUGUUAGUGUAUAGGAACACAAGAGAUUUCUGUGUAUUAAUUUUGUAUUCUGCAAUGUCACUAAAUUCAUUGGUGAGUUCUAGUGGUUUUCUGGUAGCAUCUUUAGGAUUUUUCUACGUAUUGCGUCAUGUUAUCUGCAAACAAUGACAGUUUUACCUCUUUUUUCCCAGUCUUGAUUCCUUGAGUUAAUUUUUGUAUAUGGAGUGAAAUAAGGGUCCAAGGUCUUCUUUCGUCAUGGAGACACAAUUGUCCCAGCACUGUUUGUAGGGGUGUUACUUUGGUGCUGCUGAACACCAGACCGAGGAUGGGGGUUUGGCUCCUCUUCUGUUGGUUCCACCUGUGCCCAGAGGCAGUGCUUCCUUUUCUGCUUCUCUUAGUGGGUGGCAGACCCUUGUCUCUACAGGCCUAAAGGUGAGGAGUCAAGGGGGAUUUGGAAGGAACUACAAAAAUUGCAGAGCCUUUCCCUCUAGCUAAAUAAGAUUAGAGCUUGGCCUCACCUAAAUUAAAUAGGCACUCUCUGUUUUCAGUUAUUAGACAGAGACCUAAAUUCCUGUCUAUUCUUUCUUUGACAUCAAGCCAUUGUUGAAGGACCUAGAUGUUCUCUAGCAGUGGAUCACACACUUGAGCAGCCUCAGAAUACUCUGAGGGUCUCUUCAGACCAGGAGGUCCAGCCUCUAGAUUUUCUGAUUCAGUUGGACUGGGAUGCUGGCUGAGAAUUUGCAUUCCCAAAUGAAGCUGCUGGUCUGAGGACCACAGGGCAGGAGAGCCAAAGGAAGGAAGAUGACAGGAUGCAGACAAAGAAAGGUAGAAAGUGAGCAGGGGCUCUCUCCUUGUGUGAACCUUUCUUGUGAUGUGAAGCCAAUGUGAUGAAUAUUGGUAAAAGGUUAAAAGCAUAGAUUUUGUACUGCGUUCAUCUGAAUUUGAAGUCUCUCUCUGCCAAAUGUGGCUGUGU